GUUCUCCGGCGCAAAAGAGGCAAGAGGGUCUCGGAGGCUUUCUUCUUAAUUUCUGCUGUUAACAGAUACAUAAUGAUUUGUAGGAUCAAGAGUUGGGUUUUGAUCAAACAAAAAUGCCUGGUAAUAAUCUGAGGCUACGUUGAGGAUGAAAGGACUUAGCUUUCUCCACUUGACAACAGCAACUAACUCUCUGUUUCCAAAUUCUCAGAGGGUGUUUUCCACGAUUAAACUACUACAACAAGAAGAAAAAGCAAAACACUUGCUCUCUCUAUUACUCAAAAACCCAACAAUUCACCACACCACCCAACAAAUCCACUCUCAGUUACUCACCACGGGCUUACUUAACCACUCAAUGCUUCUCUUCAACACUUUGCUCAGAUGCUAUUCUCUCAGUGAUUUCCCUCAGUUAUCUUUCCUUCUCUACCACCAACUCCAACAAGCCUACUUCCACUCCCCUUCUUUAUCACCCCCUUCAUUUGAUAGCUUUGCCUAUACAUUCCUUGUAAAUGCAAGCACCAAUCUUUCUUGUCUGGGUAUAGGAAGACAGUUUCAGAGUCUUAUACUUAAAGUGGGUUUUCAGUUUCAUGUUUAUGUACAAACUGCACUCGUUAAUUUGUACUCUGCUAGUGGGGUUUUAGGUGAUGCUCUGCUUGCGUUCGAUGAAAUGCCUCAUAGGAAUGCAGUUACGUGGAAUGUGAUGAUUACUGGGUUGGUUAAGUGGGGUGAGAUUGAAUUUGCUUGUGCUCUUUUUGAUGAGAUGCCGGAGAAAAAUGUUGUAUCGUGGACUGGGAUUAUUGAUGGGUAUGUAAGGAUGAAUAGGUACAGUGAAGGUUUAGCUUUGUUUCGAAGAAUGGUUGUCGCUGAGGAUAUCAAACCAA
rnacentral:misc_RNA from 1 species